rnacentral:rRNA from 1 species
CAAUACUUAGUGGCGAACGGGUGAGUAACACGUAGGUAAUCUACCAUAUAGACUGGGAUAACUUGAGGAAACUUAAGCUAAUACCGGAUAGAUAAGACAUAAGCAUUUAUGAUUUAAGAAAGUUACUGCAAGGUAACACUAUAUGAUGAGCCUGCGGCGCAUUAGCUAGUUGGAGGGGUAAAGGCCUAACAAGGCAAUGAUGCGUAGCCGACCUGAGAGGGUGACCGGCCACACUGGAACUGAGACACGGUCCAGACUCCUACGGGAGGCAGCAGUAGGGAAUUUUCCACACUGGGCGAAAGUCUGAUGGAGCAACGCCGCGUGAGUGAAGAAGGCCCUAUGGGUCGUAAAGCUCUGUUGUUAGGGAAGAAUGAAGAUUAUAGGAAAUGAUAGUUUGAGAGACGGUACCUAACGAGGAAGUCACGGCUAACUACGAGCCAGCAGCCGCGGUAAUACGUAGGUGGCAAGCGUUAUCCGGAAUUAUUGGGCGUAAAGGGUGAGUAGGCGGUUGUUUAAGUCUGAAGUUAAAGGCAGCGGCUCAACCAUUGUAUGCUUUGGAAACUGAACAACUAGAGUAUGAUAGAGGUCGGUGGAAUUCCACAUGUAGCGGUGAAAUGCGUAGAUAUGUGGAGGAACACCAGUGGCGAAGGCGGCCGACUGGAUCAAAACUGACGCUGAGGCACGAAAGCGUGGGGAGCAAAUAGGAUUAGAUACCCUAGUAGUCCACGCCGUAAACAAUGAAUACUAAGUGUUGGUGAAAAUCAGUGCUGAAGCAAACGCAUUAAGUAUUCCGCCUGGGGAGUACGCUCGC